rnacentral:rRNA from 1 species
GCCGCGAGGUGGAGCGAAUCUCCAAAAAUUAGUCCCAGUUCAGAUUGCAGGCUGCAACUCGCCUGCAUGAAGUCGGAAUUGCUAGUAAUCGUGGAUCAGCAUGCCACGGUGAAUACGUUCCCGGGCCUUGUACACACCGCCCGUCACACCAUGGGAGUCGGUAACACCCGAAGCCUGUAGUCUAACCGCAAGGAGGACGCAGUCGAAGGUGGGAUUGAUGACUGGGGUGAAGUCGUAACAAGGUACC